CAUGGAGAUGGCUUUCUGUCUGGCACACUUGUGAUGGUUCUGAAGGGGCCCAACGCGGCCACAUAUAUGAGGAAGGAGCUGGCAAGGGUUGACAGGAGAUGGGCUCCCGCAUAU